rnacentral:rRNA from 1 species
AUUAACGCUGGCGGAAUGCUUUACACAUGCAAGUCGAACGGCAGCACGGGGGCAACCCUGGUGGCGAGUGGCGAACGGGUGAGUAAUACAUCGGAACGUGCCCGGUCGUGGGGGAUAACGUAGCGAAAGUUACGCUAAUACCGCAUACGAUCUGAGGAUGAAAGCGGGGGACCUUCGGGCCUCGCGCGAUCGGAGCGGCCGAUGUCAGAUUAGGUAGUUGGUGGGGUAAAGGCCUACCAAGCCGACGAUCUGUAGCUGGUCUGAGAGGACGACCAGCCACACUUGGACUGAGACACGGCCCAGACUCCUACGGGAGGCAGCAGUGGGGAAUUUUGGACAAUGGGCGCAAGCCUGAUCCAGCCAUUCCGCGUGCAGGACGAAGGCCUUCGGGUUGUAAACUGCUUUUGUAUGGAACGAAAAGGCUCUGGCUAAUACCUGGGGCUCAUGACGGUACCGUAAGAAUAAGCACCGGCUAACUACGUG